GAUAAUGGAAUAGGACCCUGUCCUCCUAUUUUCAGUUGGUUUUGGCAGCGCGAGGACUAGGGUAAUGAUUAAUAGGGAUAGUUGGGGGCAUUAAUAUUUAAUUGUCAUAGGUGAAAUUCUUGGAUUUAUGAAAGAUUAACUUCUGCGAAAGCAUCUGCCAAGGAUGUUUUCAUUAAUCAAGAACGAAAGUUAGGGGAUCGAAGACGAUCAGAUACCGUCGUAGUCUUAACCAUAAACGAUGCCAACCAGCGAUUAGGAGACGUUGAAUACAAAACACCACCAUCGGUGCGGUCGUCCUUGGCGUGUUGGUCUUCAAAAGCCAGCGCGCGGGUGCGGUUUAACCCGGUGGCACCGGAGAAUGAC
rnacentral:rRNA from 1 species